rnacentral:rRNA from 1 species
CCUACGGGUUGCACCAGUGGGGGAUAUUGGACAAUGGGUGAAAGCCUGAUCCAGCAAUGCCGCGUGAGUGAUGAAGGCCUUAGGGUUGUAAAGCUCUUUUACCCGGGAAGAUAAUGACUGUACCGGGAGAAUAAGCCCCGGCUAACUCCGUGCCAGCAGCCGCGGUAAUACGGAGGGGGCUAGCGUUGUUCGGAAUUACUGGGCGUAAAGCGCACGUAGGCGGCUUUGUAAGUUAGAGGUGAAAGCCCGGAGCUCAACUCCGGAAUUGCCUUUAAGACUGCAUCGCUAGAAUUGUGGAGAGGUGAGUGGAAUUCCGAGUGUAGAGGUGAAAUUCGUAGAUAUUCGGAAGAACACCAGUGGCGAAGGCGACUCACUGGACACAUAUUGACGCUGAGGUGCGAAAGCGUGGGGAGCAAACAGGAUUAGAUACCCCCGUAGUC